rnacentral:misc_RNA from 1 species
GAUGAAGAACGUAGCGAAAUGCGAUAAGUAAUGUGAAUUGCAGAAUUCAGUGAAUCAUCGAAUCUUUGAACGCACCUUGCGCCCUUUGGCCAUUCCGAAGGGCAUGCCUGUUUGAGUAUCAUGAACACCUCAACUCUUCAUGGUUUUCCAUGAUGAGCUUGGACUUUGGGGGUCUUGCUGGCCUGUGGGUCGGCUCCUCUCAAAUGAAUCAGCUUGCCGGUUUUUGGUGGGCAUCACAGGUGUGAUAACUAUCUACGCUUGUGGUUUUCCACCAGGGUAACCUUCAGCAGUGGAAGUUCACUGGAGCUUACAAAUGUCUCUCCUCUGUGAGGACAGCCCUUUGAAUGUUUGAUCUCAAAUCAGGUAGGACUACCCGCUGAACUUAAGCAUAUCAAUAAGCGGAGGA